ACCUACGGGGGGCAGCAGUAGGGAAUCUUCCACAAUGGACGAAAGUCUGAUGGAGCAACGCCGCGUGAGUGAAGAAGGGUUUCGGCUCGUAAAGCUCUGUUGGUAGUGAAGAAAGAUAGAGGUAGUAACUGGCCUUUAUUUGACGGUAAUUACUUAGAGAGUCACGGCUAACUACGUGCCAGCAGCCGCGGUAAUACGUAGGUGGCAAGCGUUUUCCGGAUUUAUUGGGCGUAAAGCGAGUGCAGGCGGUUCCAUUAAUUCUGAUGGGAA
rnacentral:rRNA from 1 species